CAAACUAAUUUGGAUCCCAAGCCAGAACUGGCCCACAUUUAUUAAGAUUCUACACUGAAACUAAAAAGACAUGUAUGUGUCUCUCACUUAAAAGAACCCUAAGAACUCUCAGGGUACAGAGACAAUGCUAUUUAAUUCCUCAUCUCUGUACCACUGUAGCGCCUAGCACUGUCCUGCAUAUAGGAGGCAUCAAUAAAUGUUUGCCCAACUGAGUAUCAUCUCUCUACAUAAGCCCAGGGCUAUAAAAAUCAAAAGAAAUGAUGGUUAUAAAAAAUGCUUUGAAACCAUUAUUAUGAAUUAUAUAAGUAUGCAUAUGAAAGUGAUAAUUAUAUUCUGCCCCCACUUUUCCAUCUCUGACAUUCUAGAAGUGAGAGCUUUCUCUAACUUCUCUUGGACCACCCAGAAACAUGAGACCUCAGGUACAAACCAAAUUGAGCAAAUCUGAGCCUGUGGGAAAGGGGUGUGCGUGUAAAGCUGAAGCAGGUGCCUGGACGACGGCAGGGACAGUGGGAGUGUGCUACUCUUAAGGGCCCAGCAACAAACACCUGGCACGGCUGCUGACCUGGAACUCCUGCAGCUCACUCCCCUAAGCACCGCAAGCUGCAGUCCUCCCAGCUGGGGCUUUCCAGAUCACUCACCCGUUCACCUCGGCUCAAAGCAUCUCCAGAUGAACAAAGUGCGUAGAAAAACUUGGAUUCACAUUGUGGGUUUGCCACUUGUCAGCUAUUGACCAUGUAACUUCUCUCAUGGUCCUGAUCUGUGCAAUGGGAAUAGCACCCAUCUCGAAGGGGUUCCAUGAGGAUUAUAUAAAGGCACACAUAAAGCUCUACCUCCAUGGCUAUGGUCAUGGGUUGGGCAGAUUGAGGGUCACAGCUCUGCAGGAGCCCCAUGGCAUCACAAGGAAGGCACAAACCCCUCCCACACAGCACUGACUCUGGCUCCACAGCGCCCCAGCCCCACCCCACCUUCCCAGCCCCCACUUCCCACAGGAACUCUCCUCCCUGGGGCCCCACUCCCAGCAGGCACCGGCCUCCAGGAAGGUUGCGGUUUCAGGGCCAGCCCUACCUUGGUUGAUCCUUGCCCCUAGACCCAGCAGAGGACGGUGCGCGUCCAUCCUAUGGGACACGGCCGUAACCCCUUCCCCAGCCCCCACUUUAGCACACCCUGCAGAGCAGAGGCCUGACCUGAGCUGGCUCUAAACAGCUCCCUGAGGCUGGAGGCCAGACAGCCACAAGCCAGGAGCAAGAUUCUAGAAUACAAAGCUAUUAUAAUAAGGAGUUUCUCUGCAAGGCCAAAAGCCUCAGACAUUAAUAGAGGCAGAAGAUGAGUUGCAGACCCUGAAGUCCUCCUGCCCAGCCAAGCUACCAAGGUGGGGUGUCCGCCAGAACCACUGGGGCCAGGCAAUAUGAUGACAGCAACAGUCCAGGCUGCAGUAAUGUCUUUUGGAAAGGUCAGCCUGUGGCAGCUAUGCUCAUGGAAACUCAAGGAAGGUGUUUGCAUCCAUGCUUCUACCAGAAGACUAAAAGGAAGCCAUGUCCUCCCACCCAGCCCUCCAGAGUGAAGGGACCCUGGAAGUUCCAGCUAGGAAGAGAGGUCAUUGUGAGCCCACGGCCAGCCUGGUGCCAUCUGGUAACUUCCAGCACCAACCCUGCAGGUGGCUUUGGGAAGCAUCGCUGUCCUGCACCCUGCUUUUCCCUGUCACUAAGGUUCAGCCCUGGGAGGUGGGCUGGGGAGGACAGUGCCUGAGAGCCCAGCACACACCUGCCUUCAUGGUCCCGAGCUCCAGCUGAGCAGUCUUCCUCUUUCCUGAGGAGCCGAUGACAUGCUGUGACCUACUCAGGCAGGGCCCCUGGUUGCUAGGGAAUCAGUUCACCACCUCUGGAAAGUGGCAAUAUCGCUGCUGUGAGUAGGCCCAAAGUGGGCCUUUCCCUGGCACCGCCUCUGAGCCUUAUCCCCGGGGUGAGAAAAACGAAGGUUGGGGGACGCCAAGGGCCCUCCUCGGUCCCUGCUGCCCAUCCUCAAGGACUGACCUGCCCUCCUGGAUCUGGCCUAAGCUGAGUUAUAAGCUCCCUGCCAAGACAACAUCCAUCGUGCCAUGUACUACUGUUGUCAACUUUAGGGGGAUGUGGAAAGGAAGGACGCACAGACCUUGGUCCAUUACAGUGGACCCCAGGGAGCUGUCUUUGUUGUCCAGCUUUAUGAUACAGCUUGGGGUUACACAGGCAUCGCCCACAUGAUGGUGCUAUCAGGGACUGGGGAUGUGAGGAGGUGGGGCCCAGGGCCCGCUUUCAAGCCCCACCCCUCCUUGAGACAAGGUCUUACUCCAGCCCAGGCUGGAGUGCAGUGCUAGGAUCAUGGCUCACUGCAGUCUUGGCCUCCUGCCUCAGCCUCAGCAUCCUGAGCAGCUGGGACCACAGGUACACACAACACCGCACCUGACUUCGCUUUCAGAGUCCAAAGCCCUCAUAGGGCCAUUGUGAGGCUAGGGCAUCCCCACCCCAUAUGUGGUUAACUCAUGCCUAUGAAUUACCAUUUUGUUUGUUGUUAUUGUUUGUUUUUGUAAAGCUAGGAUCUUGCUAUGCUGCCCAGGCUGGUCUUGAACUCCUGACCCCAAUCCUCCCGUCUCAGCCCCCGAAAGUGCUGGAAUUACGGGCCUGAGCCACCAAGCCCAGCCUGCACUAACAUUUCACAGGGAAUGAUGGACCAAUGCUGGAGGACCUUGAUUCCAGGACUGGCUGUGCUCAAUAGCAGAGCAGCUGUGUGUCUUUGGGCAAAUCACACCUCUCUGGGCUGCAGGUCCUCCAUUUGUAAAAUGAGCACGAUAAUGCCUACCUACUGACCUCACGCACUCCCUGCAAAGAUUAAAUGAGCAAUGACUGUAGGCUGUGGAGUGCUGUAUCUCCAAGUAACAUUGACUUUCAGCCUCAUAGAGAGGAAGGAAACAGGGACGAGAGGUGACACUGCAGCUAAGCCAAAGGGAACAGGUGUGUGUGACAUGGGACUGGGGGACCAGUUAAAACCGGCCCCAGGCAUAAACAGACAGGGUGCUCUGGGCGCUGAGCAGGAGAAGCAGACAGGUCAGUCUGGGCUGGCAGACAGUUCGGGAGAGAAAUGGCUGUCAGCAAACAUCUGAAGGGCAAGAGGAAAGACACAGGAGUGAGAGGCUCAGAAUGCAAGAGGCAUCCAGUCCCAAACUUCACUCCCGAGAACUCAGGAGCUGGUGAGCAUUGCCCCAAAGCUCCCAGGCACACCAGCAUUUUGCUAAUACACACAUAACGCCACACCCUCAGAGUCCAAAGCCCUCAUAGGGGCAGCCUUGACCUCUGGCCCAGAGACCCCAGCAAAGUGACUCACCUGAGGGUUGCGAGGGAACUGCCCAACAUGCCACCAGCCCUUCCCUGGCCAAGGAAGGGAACAAGGGAACACGGCCCAGGCUGGGCCAACCAGACACUUCCUCCCUCAG
rnacentral:lncRNA from 10 species